GACGAACGCUGGCGGCGUGCCUAAUACAUGCAAGUAGAACGCACAGGAUGCACCGUAGUUUACUACACCGUAUUCUGUGAGUUGCGAACGGGUGAGUAACGCGUAGGUAACCUGCCUGGUAGCGGGGGAUAACUAUUGGAAACGAUAGCUAAUACCGCAUAAGAACAUUUACUGCAUGGUAGAUGUUUAAAAGGUGCAAAUGCAUCACUACCAGAUGGACCUGCGUUGUAUUAGCUAGUUGGUGAGGUAACGGCUCACCAAGGCAACGAUACAUAGCCGACCUGAGAGGGUGAUCGGCCACACUGGGACUGAGACACGGCCCAGACUCCUACGGGAGGCAGCAGUAGGGAAUCUUCGGCAAUGGGGGGAACCCUGACCGAGCAACGCCGCGUGAGUGAAGAAGGUUUUCGGAUCGUAAAGCUCUGUUGUUAAGGAAGAACGUGUGUGAGAGUGGAAAGUUCACACAGUGACGGUACUUAACCAGAAAGGGACGGCUAACUACGUGCCAGCAGCCGCGGUAAUACGUAGGUCCCGAGCGUUGUCCGGAUUUAUUGGGCGUAAAGCGAGCGCAGGCGGUUAGAUAAGUCUGAAGUGAAAGGCAGUGGCUCAACCAUUGUAGGCUUUGGAAACUGUUUAACUUGAGUGCAGAAGGGGAGAGUGGAAUUCCAUGUGUAGCGGUGAAAUGCGUAGAUAUAUGGAGGAACACCGGUGGCGAAGCGGCUCUCUGGUCUGUAACUGACGCUGAGGCUCGAAAGCGUGGGGAGCGAACAGG
rnacentral:rRNA from 1 species